rnacentral:rRNA from 1 species
CCUACGGGUGGCAGCAGUCGAGAAUCAUUUACAAUGGGGGAAACCCUGAUGGUGCGACGCCGCGUGGGGGAAUGAAGGUCUUCGGAUUGUAAACCCCUGUCAUGUGGGAGCAAAUUAAAAAGAUAGUACCACAAGAGGAAGAGACGGCUAACUCUGUGCCAGCAGCCGCGGUAAUACAGAGGUCUCAAGCGUUGUUCGGAAUCACUGGGCGUAAAGCGUGCGUAGGCUGUUUCGUAAGUCGUGUGUGAAAGGCGCGGGCUCAACCCGCGGACGGCACAUGAUACUGCGAGACUAGAGUAAGGGAGGGGGAACCGGAAUUCUCGGUGUAGCAGUGAAAUGCGUAGAUAUCGAGAGGAACACUCGUGGCGAAGGCGGGUUCCUGGACAGUAACUGACGCUGAGGCACGAAGGCCAGGGGAGCGAAAGGGAUUAGAUACCCGUGUAGUC